rnacentral:rRNA from 1 species
UUAAGUGACUAAGCGUACACGGUGGAUGCCUGGGCAGUCAGAGGCGAUGAAGGACGUACUAACUUGCGAUAAGCGCAGAUAAGGCAGUAAGAGCCGUUUGAGUCUGCGAUUUCCGAAUGGGGAAACCCAACUGCAUAAGCAGUUACUGUUAACUGAAUACAUAGGUUAACAGAGCAAACCGGGGGAACUGAAACAUCUAAGUACCCCGAGGAGAAGAAAUCAACCGAGAUUCCGGUAGUAGCGGCGAGCGAACCUGGAUUAGCCCUUAAGCACUCGGUGAAGUAGGUGAACAAGCUGGAAAGCUUGGCGAUACAGGGUGAUAGCCCCGUAACCGACGCUUCAUCGAGCGUGAAAUCGAGUAGGGCGGGACACGUGAUAUCCUGUCUGAAUAUGGGGGGACCAUCCUCCAAGGCUAAAUACUCCUGACUGACCGAUAGUGAACCAGUACCGUGAGGGAAAGGCGAAAAGAACCCCUGUGAGGGGAGUGAAAUAGAACCUGAAACCGUGUACGUACAAGCAGUAGGAGCACCUUCGUGGUGUGACUGCGUACCUUUUGUAUAAUGGGUCAGCGACUUAUAUUCAGUGGCAAGGUUAACCGUAUAGGGGAGCCGUAGCGAAAGCGAGUCUUAACUGGGCGCUCAGUCUCUGGAUAUAGACCCGAAACCGGGUGAUCUAGCCAUGGGCAGGUUGAAGGUUGAGUAACAUCAACUGGAGGACCGAACCGACUAAUGUUGAAAAAUUAGCGGAUGACUUGUGGCUAGGGGUGAAAGGCCAAUCAAACUCGGAGAUAGCUGGUUCUCCCCGAAAGCUAUUUAGGUAGCGCCUCGGACGAAUACUACUGGGGGUAGAGCACUGUUAAGGCUAGGGGGUCAUCCCGACUUACCAACCCUUUGCAAACUCCGAAUACCAGUAAGUACUAUCCGGGAGACACACGGCGGGUGCUAACGUCCGUCGUGGAGAGGGAAACAACCCAGACCGCCAGCUAAGGUCCCAAAGUAUUGCUAAGUGGGAAACGAUGUGGGAAGGCUCAGACAGCUAGGAUGUUGGCUUAGAAGCAGCCAUCAUUUAAAGAAAGCGUAAUAGCUCACUAGUCGAGUCGGCCUGCGCGGAAGAUGUAACGGGGCUAAGCAAUACACCGAAGCUGCGGCAAUAUCUUUUAGAUAUUGGGUAGGGGAGCGUUCUGUAAGCCGUUGAAGGUGAAUCGUAAGGUUUGCUGGAGGUAUCAGAAGUGCGAAUGCUGACAUGAGUAACGACAAAGGGGGUGAAAAACCUCCUCGCCGGAAGACCAAGGGUUCCUGUCCAACGUUAAUCGGGGCAGGGUGAGUCGACCCCUAAGGUGAGGCCGAAAGGCGUAAUCGAUGGGAAACGGGUUAAUAUUCCCGUACUUCUGACUAUUGCGAUGGGGGGACGGAGAAGGCUAGGUGGGCCAGGCGACGGUUGUCCUGGUUCAAGUGCGUAGGCUUGAGAGUUAGGUAAAUCCGGCUCUCUCUAAGGCUGAGACACGACGUCGAGCUGCUACGGCAGUGAAGUCAUUGAUGCCAUGCUUCCAGGAAAAGCCUCUAAGCUUCAGAUAGUCAGGAAUCGUACCCCAAACCGACACAGGUGGUCGGGUAGAGAAUACCAAGGCGCUUGAGAGAACUCGGGUGAAGGAACUAGGCAAAAUGGUACCGUAACUUCGGGAGAAGGUACGCUCUUGAUGGUGAAGUCCCUCGCGGAUGGAGCUGACGAGAGUCGCAGAUACCAGGUGGCUGCAACUGUUUAUUAAAAACACAGCACUGUGCAAAAUCGCAAGAUGACGUAUACGGUGUGACGCCUGCCCGGUGCCGGAAGGUUAAUUGAUGGGGUUAGCGCAAGCGAAGCUCUUGAUCGAAGCCCCGGUAAACGGCGGCCGUAACUAUAACGGUCCUAAGGUAGCGAAAUUCCUUGUCGGGUAAGUUCCGACCUGCACGAAUGGCGUAAUGAUGGCCACGCUGUCUCCACCCGAGACUCAGUGAAAUUGAAAUCGCUGUGAAGAUGCAGUGUACCCGCGGCUAGACGGAAAGACCCCGUGAACCUUUACUACAGCUUGGCACUGAACAUUGAACCUACAUGUGUAGGAUAGGUGGGAGGCUAUGAAGACGUGACGCCAGUUGCGUUGGAGCCGUCCUUGAAAUACCACCCUUGUAUGUUUGAUGUUCUAACUUAGACCCGUUAUCCGGGUUGAGGACAGUGCCUGGUGGGUAGUUUGACUGGGGCGGUCUCCUCCCAAAGAGUAACGGAGGAGCACGAAGGUGGGCUAAUCACGGUUGGACAUCGUGAGGUUAGUGCAAUGGCAUAAGCCCGCUUAACUGCGAGAAUGACGGUUCGAGCAGGUGCGAAAGCAGGUCAUAGUGAUCCGGUGGUUCUGUAUGGAAGGGCCAUCGCUCAACGGAUAAAAGGUACUCCGGGGAUAACAGGCUGAUACCGCCCAAGAGUUCAUAUCGACGGCGGUGUUUGGCACCUCGAUGUCGGCUCAUCACAUCCUGGGGCUGAAGUCGGUCCCAAGGGUAUGGCUGUUCGCCAUUUAAAGUGGUACGCGAGCUGGGUUUAGAACGUCGUGAGACAGUUCGGUCCCUAUCUGCCGUGGGCGUUGGAAGAUUGAAGGGGGCUGCUCCUAGUACGAGAGGACCGGAGUGGACGAACCUCUGGUGUUCGGGUUGUGUCGCCAGACGCAUUGCCCGGUAGCUAAGUUCGGAAUU